GGCUCAGGACGAACGCUGGCGGCGUGCUUAACACAUGCAAGUCGAACGGUGACGACGGGGCUUGCCCUGUCUGAUCAGUGGCGAACGGGUGAGUAACACGUGAGUAACCUGCCCUUGACUCUGGGAUAACCGCGGGAAACGGCGGCUAAUACCGGAUAUGAGACGUACAGGCAUCUGUUGCGUCUGGAAAGAUUUAUCGGUCAAGGAUGGGCUCGCGGCCUAUCAGCUUGUUGGUGGGGUGAAGGCCUACCAAGGCGACGACGGGUAGCCGGCCUGAGAGGGCGACCGGCCACACUGGGACUGAGACACGGCCCAGACUCCUACGGGAGGCAGCAGUGGGGAAUAUUGCACAAUGGGCGCAAGCCUGAUGCAGCGACGCCGCGUGAGGGAUGAAGGCCUUCGGGUUGUAAACCUCUUUCAGCAGGGA
rnacentral:rRNA from 1 species